CCCUACGGGGUGCAGCAGGCGCGAAACCUCUACAAUGCACGAAAGUGUGAUAGGGGAAUCCUGAGUGCUUAACUUUGUUAGGCUUUUUCUAAAGGUAAAUACUUUGGAGAAUAAGUGGUGGGUAAGACUGGUGCCAGCAGCCGCGGUAACACCAGCGCCACGAGUGGCGAUCGGCAUUAUUGGGUCUAAAGCGUCCGUAGCCUGUUCAGUAAGUCUCUUGUGAAAUUGUUGGGCUCAACUCAACAACGUGCAGGAGAUACUGCAGGACUUGAGACCAGGAGGAGUCAGAGGUAUUCCAUGGGGAGCGGUAAAAUGCUAUAAUCCAUGGAGGACCACCGGUGGCGAAGGCGUCUGUCUAGAAUGGAUCUGUCGGUGAGGGACGAAAGCCAGGGGAGCGAUCCGGAUUAGAUACCCGAGUAGUCCUGGCCCUAAACGCUGCGAGCUAGGUGUUGCAUAUUCUCCGUGAAUAUGCAGUGUCGAAGCGAAGGUGUUAAGCUCGCCACCUGGGAAGUAUAGUCGCAAGGCCGAAACUUAAAGGAAUUGGCGGGGGAGCAC
rnacentral:rRNA from 1 species